AUUCAUCUUUUUCCUCAUUUUAAAGUUUCUAAUAUCCACUUCCUGAAGCGUUUAAUCCUUCCAAAUUCCAAUUCAUUCCACUGCCACAUUUGUACUUUAUUGUUCCUUUAAAAUCCCAAUUAAAAAAAAAAGUUUCUCAAAAAUUGUUCAGAAAGAUCCUGAGGAUCAAAUUAGGGCAUAGAAGCCUCUCCAAACGACGGAACAAAAGCAGCCGACAAGUCACCUUCUCCAAACGAUGCAACGGUCUCAUGGAGAAAGCACGUUAGCUUUCUGUUCUCUGUGAUGCCUCCGUCGCUCUUCUCGCUGUCCCCGCAAGCUCUACAGCUUCUCCUCUGGCAAUAAGUACGACUUCUCCUCCUCUGGGUUUAGCUAACUUCUCCUCCGCCUACGACUUCUCCUUCUAGAAGGCUCUUCUGGAACCUGGACGCAUACUUUCAGCUUGUGGUGACUGAAUCUGUCUGUUGUUUUCAAAUAUUUAGCUGAUCUUUCUUUAUCCAUCAUUAUAACAUCUGGGUAAGCAGCAUCCUCUAUCAAAGAUUUAGCUGAUCUUUCUUUAUCCAUCAUUAUAACAUCUGGGUAAGCAGCAUCCUCUAUCUUAUUCUUGCUUCUGCAAAGAAUUAUGUCAUCUUUUUAACGUUAGAUACACAUUUUCAUGUAAAAAAAAAUCGAGUAAUAACUGCUUGUUACCUCACUAUGUAAGGUCGUUUUAGAAGGCACAACGUCAUCAAUGAUCACUUAUCAUAUUCAUAUUUGUUAGUUAAGCUUGACUACACAUUUGGUUGCAGUCUUAUUUGUAUAGCAACAUUAUAUCUGCACAUAUCAUUCGACUCUUAUCCUUCACCCAUUGGCUGCUGAUUUGCUAACUUUCCAUUGUUUCUCUUUUUGUCAUGAUUCAACUGUAGUUAUCUUGGUUAUGAAAUACAAGACUUUGUCACCGAUGAAUUCUUUCUCAUCUGAACUUGGGAUGCAAUUUGGUACUUGUUUAGAGGCUCCACAUGUGAUUGAUGUUAAUCUGCAGGUGUGGGCUGGUGCAAUCUCCAAUGGUCCUGGUAAUUAUCGUCUAAAUGGAAGUUAUAAAACAGCUGAUGCAUACUCAUUCCAGGACGCUCUAGGGAAAUAGUUAGAAGAAAUGUGCACUAUUGUACCAGGUGGUUCGCUUGUAUUUUUUCCAAGCUAUAAAUUGAUGGAAAAACUUUGUACGCGUUGGCGUGAAAUUGGGCAAUGAUCACGCCUCUGCCUUAAAAAGGAUGUUUUUGUUGGGUUAUUAUUAUUUUAUACGCGGAAAGCACACAUCGAUUGGACGAAAUAGACGAGCUAAGAAAGCAGGGUUUGUUAAAACUGAAAGUCAAGAUGAUCUCAAGAAAGGAGCUGCAUUUUUGGCAGUAUUUAGAGGAAAGGUCUAUUGAGCAUGAUUUACAAUUUAAGGGAGCUAUCCAAUCAUUGAGCAUGAUAUGGGUUACCUUUUACCAUUCACAGAAUAUAACUUAUUUGAAAACUUUGAUGACUAGAGAGUUUAAAGCCUACAUGUUUCUCACAGGUUUCAGAAUGAAUUGACUUUGCGGACGACAACGCCAGGGUAGUGGUAUCCUUUUCAUUAUAUUGGCUGGGAAUACUGUUUCGUCAAUUACUGCAGUCUUUUACUGCCAUAGAAGCUGUAGGACAAAUAGGAUUUAUACUGCACAAUUUGGCUAAUGAAUGGGCUGCUGAACGUUGAUGAUUACACAGAUAAUUGUUGGCAUUCCAUUUCUAAACUUGUAAGAAUUCUAUUUCCAUUUAAUUUUUUUUCCAGCUUCGUUCAAAAUCAAUUUAGGGGGAACAGUUUUCUAACGAG